CCAGACAGCCAGGAUGUUGGCUUAGAAGCAGCCAUCAUUUAAAGAAAGCGUAAUAGCUCACUGGUCGAGUCGGCCUGCGCGGAAGAUGUAACGGGGCUAAACCAUGCACCGAAGCUGCGGCAGCGACACUCAGGUGUUGUUGGGUAGGGGAGCGUUCUGUAAGCCUGUGAAGGUGUGCUGUGAGGCAUGCUGGAGGUAUCAGAAGUGCGAAUGCUGACAUAAGUAACGAUAAAGCGGGUGAAAAGCCCGCUCGCCGGAAGACCAA
rnacentral:rRNA from 1 species